CUGUUUCAAGGUGCUUUUCUUCAAGACAAAGGAAUGCAUUAAAGGAGUUGGUUGGCAGCUGUGAACAUUUCUUCAUUACCAAUGAGUGCAUUAAAAUAGUUGGUUAGAAGCUGUAAACACUUAAUUUCGAAAUUCGCUGUGCAUGAAGGGUUGUUUCAUGCACUAGUAUUUAUUUUGGUGUUUAGGACUUAGAAAGGACUUUAGAAACUGAUGAUAUCUGGGCAGAAGCUCUUAGAGAACCCCUUAAACUCUGUAUCUCUUGGAUGCGUCCUUGAGUGGUGAGUCUUUUAUUUUCUAGUUCUGUAUCCUCGUUUAAUUUCCGUUGGGUGGUGAACUUUCUGUAUCCCAUUGCGAU
rnacentral:lncRNA from 1 species